rnacentral:rRNA from 1 species
GAGGAAUAUUGGUCAUGGUCGGCAGACUGAACCAGCCAGUCGCGUGAGGGAAGACGGCCCUACGGGUUGUAAACCUCUUUUGUCGGAGAGUAAAGUACGCUACGUGUAGUGUAUUGCAAGUAUCCGAAGAAAAAGCAUCGGCUAACUCC